rnacentral:lncRNA from 1 species
AUAUCAGGUGCCAUUGAACACAGUCCAGGGAAAGCAUCUAUCUAUAGUGAUAGUGAUCCAUUGCCUUGACUUGAGUCUCCACCACAUCUAUUUCCUGCCCGCUUGUAGCGGUUGGUUAGGCUAGGCCGGUUAGAACCUCUCCGCAGGGUAUUAGGUUCUUGGGUGCAUACAGGGCAUUCGUUGUACAAAGAUAGAGCCAGGUGCUUGGUCUCCAACUUGGGAAACAGUACUGGUAGUAGAAGUAAUAGCUACUAAAGUGUUUCUAUUAUUACACAAUAGAUAAGCUAGAUAAACUAGAGAGAGAUUGUGUAACAUUCCUACUAAACAUCCUAAUCAUCCUGCUGUGGCGGGCAGUGGAGCAGCG